CCUACGGGUGGCAGCAGUGGGGAAUAUUGGACAAUGGGCGAAAGCCUGAUCCAGCCAUGCCGCGUGUGUGAAGAAGGCCUUCGGGUUGUAAAGCACUUUCAGUGGGGAAGAAAGCCUUGGGGCUAAUACCCUCGAGGAAGGACAUCACCCACAGAAGAAGCACCGGCUAACUCCGUGCCAGCAGCCGCGGUAAUACGGAGGGUGCGAGCGUUAAUCGGAAUUACUGGGCGUAAAGCGCGCGUAGGCGGUCUGAUAAGCCGGUUGUGAAAGCCCCGGGCUCAACCUGGGAACGGCAUCCGGAACUGUCAGGCUAGAGUGCAGGAGAGGAAGGUAGAAUUCCCGGUGUAGCGGUGAAAUGCGUAGAGAUCGGGAGGAAUACCAGUGGCGAAGGCGGCCUUCUGGACUGACACUGACGCUGAGGUGCGAAAGCGUGGGUAGCAAACAGGAUUAGAUACCCUUGUAUC
rnacentral:rRNA from 1 species